rnacentral:sRNA from 1 species
CAUGUCUUGCAAAACACGAUGAACAAAGUCUAACUAUUGAAUGCAAUAUUUGCAUUGAAAAUAUCAAGGCUAUCAAUAAGCCAUUCGGAAUCCAGGAGAAUUGCAAUCAUAGCUUUUGCUAUAGUUGUAUAAAGCGUUGGCAAGAAAGAGAUGAAAUGGUAAAUAAUAGGGCCUGUCCGGUUUGUCGAACUCCGUCAGGUUACAUAUUGAACUUCCCGCUGUGGAUCACAUGUCCACGAUCAAAAAAAAAUUUGUUUGAUUGUAAGAAAAGACGUUUCUUGAGACAAUUAAUCCAAGGUUUUUCAAAAGACUAAAUUAGAU